rnacentral:rRNA from 1 species
UAUCUCUGUAGAGUCUGCAUAUCAAUAAGCGGAGGAAAAGAAACUAACUAGGAUUCCCUUAGUAACGGCGAGUGAAGCGGGAAGAGCUCAAAUUUGAAAUCUUCAAGGUUCUACCUUGACGAAUUGUAGUUUAAAGAAGUGUUUUCUGUUAGGAUGAGUAGCAAAAGUUCCUUGGAAUAGGGACAUCAUAGAGGGUGAGAAUCCCGUAUUUGGUUACAUUACUUUCUAGCUUUGUGAUACACUUUCAAAGAGUCGGAUUGUUUGGGAAUGCAGUCCAAAAUGGGUGGUAAAUUUCAUCUAAAGCUAAAUAUUGGCGAGAGACCGAUAGCGAACAAGUACCGUGAGGGAAAGAUGAAAAGAACUUUGAAAAGAGAGUUAAACAGUACGUGAAAUUGUCAAAAGGGAAGCGUUUGACACCAGUGUUGUUUUUCCGAAAAUCAAUUACCGAAUGGCUUGAUUCUGUGUCGUAUUGACCUUAUCAGCUUUCUGCACUUUUUUCGAGUCUUUCUUAAUGCACUUUUCGGUUAACAAGUCAACAUCAAUUUCUUUUGUUGUAAAAGAGUAUUCGGAAGGUGGCUUUCUUUUCGGAGAAAGUGUUUAUAGCCCUAUACUUCUACAAUCGGAGAGAUUGAGGUCUGCAGCGUAGAUCCUUCGGGGUUAGAUACACUUUGUGCUAAGUUGUAGCUUUUCAUAGACAACUUGUUGACUAUGUUUAGUCAUGCGGCUUACUCGCUUGUGCUAUUUUACCUACGCUUAGGAUGUUGACGAGACUGUCGAUCUC